rnacentral:rRNA from 1 species
AGAUCACCUGCAUGCAUUCGGACUUUAUGUUGCGCAGUAUAGGUGGGAGGCGUUGAGUUUAUUCUUGCGGGAAUUUAGGAGCCAUCAGUGAGAUACCACUCUGGUAAUGUUAGAUUUCUAACUUUGUAUCAUAAUCUGGUCAAAGAACAGUUUCAGGCGGGCAGUUUGACUGGGGCGGUCGCCUCCCAAAUGGUAACGGAGGCGUACAAAGGUUUCCUCUGAACGUGUAGAAAUCGUAUCUAGAGUGUAAAGGCAUAAGGAAGCUUGACUGUGAGACUUACAAGUCGAGCAGGGACGAAAGUCGGUCUUAGUGAUCUGACGGUGCUGAGUGGAAAGGCCGUCACUCAACGGAUAAAAGUUACUCUAGGGAAACAGGCUGAA